CGCGUAGGCGGCGGGGUAAGUCGGAUGUGAAAUCUCAGAGCUCAACUCUGAAACUGCACUCGAUACUGCUCUGCUUGAGGACUGGAGAGGAGACUGGAAUUCACGGUGUAGCAGUGAAAUGCGUAGAUAUCGUGAGGAAGACCAGUGGCGAAGGCGGGUCUCUGGACAGUUCCUGACGCUGAGGCGCGAAGGCCAGGGGAGCAAACG
rnacentral:rRNA from 1 species